UGGUCCUAUAGCAGCCAGGAUGCCAGACAGGCUGAGUCGUAGGCUACAUGAUUAAGAGGCCAUGCGCUGUGAGCGUGAAGCAGACCAACUGGCCUCAUAAAAAACAUGGGAACAGAGAGGCCUCAGAUUUACCAUCAACACAGCCAAGUCACAGGCUGCAUGGUAAUAAUGCAGCCCUUAUUCGAGCUGACCCUAAUGCUGCACACUCCAACAGUGGAGGCUGAGCCCUGAAAUCCCAAGCAUUCAGGCCAGCAGCCCCAGAGGACCUGAGCCCUAGGACCAUGCCUCAGGACUACCUGGCCUGAUGACUCCUUGUUUCCCCAGUCCACCUGGCCGUGCUGCUGCUCCAGUUUCAACUGUUCUGCCUGCGGCUAUGGAACCCUGACCUGUUCACCGGACGUGCUACCUGUCCCAGACCUGCUGUUUUCAACUCUCUAGAGACAGCAGGAGCGGUAGAGAUACUCUGAAUGAUCGGCUAUGAAAAGCCAACUGACAUUUACUCCUGAGAGUCAUGGCUGAACGACGACAAUAUCAACAUUCAGCUGGCUGGUUAUACGAUGUACCGGCAGGAUAGAACAGUGGCGUCUGGAUGUGGCGAGUCAUCCCGGGGUCAUUGUAUGGCUUCCAAGUCUAAGAUAAAUGGGGAUUUAUUAUUGUUAUGUUUGGCUAUAUGCAUCUGAGUUGAGGCCUGAGGGGUAGGAGAAAGACUGAAGUUGUUUCUCGGGUUUGGUUUUAUGGGUACCUGAAUGAAAUACAGUGAGAAAUGGGUCGUGUUCAUUACAGCACAACUAUAGCAAAAUGUUUCAAAAUGUCCCUCCCUGUAUCAGUAUGUUUUCUUCCGUUUGGUGCUUAAUGAAUACAACCCUGGUGAUACUGCUCGGGUGCCACUAUAAACCACCAUGUCCUUUUGAACUUUGCCAUACAACAUUUCCUGAAGGGGAGUGAAGAAUCCCAGCUCACAUAUUGGCUGUAUAAUAACUGACUUGUUAGACUCUAGCUCCGCUUCAGUGCAUUGGCCCCAAUGUUGUCAUUACACACUCUUUAUGCUGGUAAUGUACAGUAGUUGCCCAUAACCACAGAUUCUCC
rnacentral:lncRNA from 1 species